rnacentral:rRNA from 1 species
AAGGGCACCACAAGAACGCGUGGAGCAUGUGGCUUAAUUUGACUCAACGCGGGAAAUCUUACCGGGUCCGGACACACUGAGGAUUGACAGGCAAUAUUAAAUUAAAUAUUAAUUACUUCGGUUUUUAAUUAUUUAAUUUAUGUUAAAUAUGCUAGUCCUUUCAUGAUUAUGUGAUAGGUGGUGCAUGGCCGUUCUUAGUUCGUGGAGUGAUCUGUCUGCUUAAUUGCGUUUCACUAAGGGCUUAUAAAUUUACGUGUGUUGUAAGUACUUUGACCCCUACAUUGAAAUAUAUGUAGUGCGUGUCUUUGUUUGCUUUACUCACACAAUUAAGUCCUGAAAGCAACGAACGUGACCGCAACCUCUUGUUGCCUUUAUCCAAAACGGCGUUAUUUUAAAUUUAUUUAAGAUUAACGUUAAAAAGAGGCUUUUAAACUAGAGGGACCGCUGUAAUCUUUUUAAACCAGAGGAAGGUUGCGGCAAUAACAGGUCUGUGAUGCCCUUAGAUGUUCCGGGCUGCACACGUGCUACAAUGAUUAUGGCAGUGAGCAUCUCAUUUUUAUACACCGCAUGUACGAGUCCAGUUACUAGGUAUUGGUUUCGGCUGAUAUUUUAGCUAAUUGUGUUACUUUGUGCGCGGUAAAGCCUGCUUCGAAAGUAAGUGGGUAAUCAAUUAGAAGUAAUGAUUUCCCAAUUUAUAGCACACAUAUAUGUGGCGUCUUUACCCGGACUAAGCUUGUCUUAGUUUUUGUGUGUACUGAUGUUUUUUCCACAUGUGCAAUUGUCAAUUCAUGGUGGGGACAGACCAUUGUUAAUUGUUGGUCUCGGUCUUAACUAGGAAUGCCUUGUACGGGUCUUUGGUUCAACAAACCACCCGGAAUACGUCCCUGCCCUUUGUACACACCGCCCGUCGCUCUUACCGAUGGACUUCUCUGUGAGUUUGAGGGACUGGGUAUUAAGAAUUUAUUCUUUACCACCUAUGGAAACUUAAACGAACAGUGUGGUCUAAAGGAAAGAGAAGUCGUAACAAGGC